rnacentral:lncRNA from 10 species
UUCAAGAUAUUCUUAGAAGAUAUCUGGUCUACUUUUUUGAGCUGUUAACAUUUUUCUGAGAGUUAACUUUUCUUGGGAAGAAAUGAAGUGGAAAUAUGGUUGCUGCCUAAGAAGUAAUAAUAGGAGAUACAGGAAGCAGUUUGAAAUGGAAUAGAAACAACUUGUGAUAGAGGACAGAAGCCAUAUCAGAAGUCACGGAAUUAAUUAUGUGAGUCUGGGAUCAGUGAGAGAUGAAAAUUGAGAAGAAAGAAAACUGUAAGACUCUGUGACUUGAAAAAUCCAGGAGAGACAGGCAACUGAAUUGCUACAUUGUAUUUUCUCUUAAACCCAAGAAAAUUCCCUGUGUUAGAACAACUUGAAUGAAAAGAAGAAUAAACAGGUGUCCAACAAUAACAUUUCCAAGAUAGGAAGAAAGCGAGGGUUCAAAACGGAGGUAAGUAAAUGAAAUGUUGGUAUACUUUAUGCUCAGGAUAACAACUUGUUGGGUUUAUUCUAUUUUUUGCAUUUGCUUCUUAUUUAUCAUUUUAAUUUACAAAACUCUUGUGGUACCAAGUCUGCUUUCCAAGGCAUACACACACUGGUGAAAUGGAAUGACCGGUUUAUGUAACUUCCUUUCCAUUCUAUGAUGUAAGUACCACACAAAUGUUUUCCCAGGGUGUUGAAAAAGUGUAAGUAAUUUUCUGAAGAUUUGCACUUUGCUUCAUCAUAGGUAGUGAAAAAUACAAAACCUAUUUGCAGAAGGAUUGAGAAUAUCUUAGCUUUUUGGAUAUUUUCUCUUCUGAGACUUGUUUUAAAUUCAGGUCAGAAAAGCUAGUGUAAUAUUGGAAUUGAAAAGAGCAACAGUGUUUUGACAUUGUAUAUCUUGGCAUAAACCUUGCAUCAUUCGCAGUAUGAGAUGUCAUGAAACUCAACUCAGCAUAACAUAAAAUCAAAUGGGUUAAAGGAGUUCAAAUAGCAAACAUCCAGGUGUCUUCGCUGUCCAGCAUCUAGUAAUAGGAGGACAUUGAGACAGAAUAAUAUCAUACCAUUUAUUAUUCAGCAUUUAUUGUGUACCCGCUAUGUGCCAAGGGCUGUGUCAAGGACAUGAAAAUUAAUAAAAAAAAAACUCUUACUCUUGAAAAGGGAAUCAUCUGACAACUAGCAUUUAUUGAAAACUCAAGCAUUGAACUCUGCAUUUUGCAUGUAUCUCUGUUUAAUCUUUACAUUAACUUCGUGAAUAUAAUAUUAUUAUUUUAAAGAUGUGGAAAGAAGAUGCAAAAAUGUUGAUUAAAUUAUCUAAGGUAUUUAACCUGCCAUUGGCUGAUACAUAUUUCAAACAAGCCUGCCUUAACCACAAAAUGUUUAUGCUUUUAGUUAUAUAUAAUGUGUCUCACCAAUCACUGAAGGGGACAAGUCAUCCAUGUAAGAAAUUAACUCAACCCAGGGGAGAGGACAUAUUCCUGUAAUCUCAGCUACUCAGGAACCUGAAGCAGGAGGAUAAUUUCAGGGAAGGAAUUGAGACCAGCAUGGGCAACAUAGCAAGAUGUAAAAAAACAAAACAAAACACAAUUUUUUAAUGUUAACUAGGUGUGGUGGCAUGUUCCUGUAGUCCCAGCUACUCAGGAGCAUGAGGCAGGAAGCUUGCUUGAGCCCCAAAGUUCAAGGGUGCAGUGAGCUAUGGUUGCACUUCUGCAUUCCAGCCUAGGUGACAGAGAAAGAUCCCCUCUCAAAAAACUUAAUUUAUUGUCAAAUAUACUUUUGCAUAACUGUGUGCAAAUUAUGUAGCUGUAAAAAUAAGGCUAUGAUGUAAUUAUGCCCUGAAACUGUUUGUUUGUUGCUGUUUUUGGUUUUGUUUUAUUUUUGCUUGGUAUUGGUGAUGUAUGGAGUAAUGUGUUCACUGGUCUUUGAGGUAUAAUCAUACCUUUGCCAGAUGGAGAACAGUUGAGCAGUAUAUUCCAGGAAUAGGGAAUAUUAUGUCUAAAACAUUACAUAGUCAAGGAAUUACAGCAAAGUUUUGUUUAUAAAGAGGAGAGGAAAAAAAAAGAAUGAUACAAGGAAUAUAAAUGGGGCGGGCUCUGUAUGUACGCAUUUUUAGAAUAUAAAAUGUUUUUCUAUAGAAAAUAAAGAAACCAUGAUAUGAAUAUAAUAUGUGGGGA